GAAUAAGCCCCGGCUAACUUCGUGCCAGCAGCCGCGGUAAUACUAAGGGGGCUAGCGUUGUUCGGAAUUACUGGGCGUAAAGGGCGCGUAGGCGGUUUUCUAAGUCAGGUGUGAAAUCUCCGGGCUCAACUCGGAGGCUGCCCUUGAAACUGGAGUGCUUGAGUGUGGGAGAGGUGAGUGGAAUUCCCGGUGUAGAGGUGAAAUGCGUAGAUAUUGGGAGGAACACCUGUGGCGAAGGCGGCUCACUGGACCAUUACUGACGCUGAGGCACGAAAGCGUGGGGAGCAAACAGGAUUAGAUACCCUGGUAGUCCACGCCCUAAACGAUG
rnacentral:rRNA from 1 species